CAGGCUUACAUUGAAACACUGGUUCCCAUAUAAUCACCAAAGUUAAGCAAUGUUGACCCUGGACAGUACCUAGAUGGGCGACUGUUUGGGAAUACCAGGUGUUGUAAG